rnacentral:lncRNA from 1 species
UUUUAAUUUGGGUUUCCAGAGUUUGGAAGCAAGGUUGAUGUACCUCAUGAUAAUGAUGUACUGGUUGAGAAAGGGUUACAGGAAGCAGUGCUGGUGGCUGGUGCAGGUGAGGGCAUUUAGCACCUGAUAAAUGGGAGGGGAGUGGACCCUGGCUGCUCUGUGGCUAGAAGGUUAUAAGGGCUAAGUGAGGGUAGCCUGCCUUUCUCUCUGGUUUGACCCAGGCUAUGGCUGGAACAAUGGCUUUGGAGCAGGGGAAGGAGAAGCACAAGGAGACUCAUUGGGUUGCUCACACUGUGGCAGAAAUGUAAUAAUAGAAGGCACAGGGAACACUCAGAGGAAUCCACACCGGGAGGAAAUAGUGCACGGGGUGUGUGUGGCACAUGCAGCUCCCCUGGGAG